UCUCCUAGCUGUCAAAUAUUGAUAAAGAAUAGUAUAUAAUGUCGUUUUUAAACAUAUAAUUCGAAAGUUGUGUGUACUAAUUAUGUGAUUAAAUUCAAACCUAUAUAAAUAGCAUUCGCUCUUUUUGAAAAAUACCCGCUGAAAUUGUUCAACUACUAGUUCAAAUACGAUUGGUCGGCAUUCGAGGUGUCAUUCAACUAUGCUUGGUAUUACUGGCGGUAAAUUUAAACUUUAAUUAAUGACUGAUUCGAUUAUUUCAUUCAGCAAAAAGGUUAGAGUAUGCAAAAAUUCAGUUUAAAGUCAGUCUAAAAUGAGAUACGCGGUCUUCAUACUGGGCCCUUGAUAUGUGAAGACCAUCCAUACGAAUCAGAAGAACAAUGCGACUUGAGGUCAGGUAGAUCCACAAUAGACAUUUUCUGUAUAACCAAGUAAUUAAAGAAAGGCUCUGAGUCCAAGAGGUGCAUUUACUUAUGGUAGAAUCUAACGAAGGCAUAUGGCAGGGUAUCUAUUAAUAGACUAGACUUUGAGAAGUAUUAGAAAAAACCAGCAUAAAUGUAUCACAGAGGCACUGAAAGAACUUUAUAAAAACUCGAUAACUAAAAUUAAAAUUGGAAAUAGAAUAUCAAAAGGUUUCGUGGUCCCUAAAACACUAAGGCAAGGAUGCUAUGUAUCACCAGUAUUAUUCAAUACAUUUUUAUACAGGGUGUUUGGUAAAGAAUGGGCCAUAUAUUCCUGAGGUUAAAAUAGGUCGAUUUAAGCUAACUUACCUUAGUACAGAAGUUGAUAAUAACCGAAAUACAGGGUAUCAAAGUUAAA